UACUGGAACUCGGCUCGGGUUGCUAGGUAACGAGGCUGGACAUAAGGAGCUAAAUUAAUCUCAAAAAGAUUGAGAAAGUGGACAACAAGAGUUGAAUACGUACAAUAAGAUCCGCAAGCGUAUAGCAAGAUUUGACUUUUGAGACUUUCUUACCACAUGGGAUUCACAAAUGAGAUGAUGCGUUUGAGGCAGAAGAAAAGGUUUGGUUUCUCAUUUUGUGCCUCGUUUCACACUGGAUCAGUUUGAACUCCUGCUGGGCAAAAGCCCAACUUUAACUUUGAUGGACUGAAUUUGAUGAGAACAUCGACGCUCCUCAAAUGGAUUCCUUUGACCCUUCAGAUUCUGCAAUAAAUUGUGGCGCUUUUAACGUUUGCCAACAGGAGGGAAAAGAAGACAUGAAAACACGACGUAAACACACCAGUUUGAAAACA